rnacentral:lncRNA from 1 species
UGUACAAGUUCCCAGGCCAGGGAUCAAACCUGUACCACAGCAACAACCUGAGCUGUGGCAGUGACAAUGCCAGAUCCUUAACCUACUGCACUACAAGGAAACUCCUCAAGCGUGACUUUCAAACCCCUUCUCUACUCAAUAUCAAUAAAACCUUCUUAGAGCUCCCCAGAGCAUGUUCAAUUUCCAUGUCUCUGUUCAUGAUGUUCAUUCACUAAAACUCAUAAAUCUUCAAGAAACGAAUCCGAUUAGGAACCAUGAGGUUGAGGGUUCGAUCCCUGCCCUUGCUCAGUGGGUUAAGGAUCCAGCGUUGCUGUGAGCUCUGCUGUAGGUCGCAGACGCAGCUCAGGUAUGGUGUUGCUGUGGCUGUGGGGUAGACCAGCAGCUGCAGCUCCAGUUCGACCCCUAGCCUGGGAAUCUCCACAUGUCAUGGGUGCAGCCCUAAAAAGCCAAACAAACAACAAAAAAAGAAUUCUUCUUGAUUACUGAGUCCUACAAAAAUACCUGAUUAGCCAACCAACUGACCAAUCUCCUGUCUUACACAAAACACAAGUUGUUUUGCCCCCCCCAUCUCCCCCCGUAUAUUGUGCUAUUGGGCUACGUAUCUGAGGUAGCGCACAGCCCAUCCAGAUUCAUUAUCUCCCUCAAAGACUGAUUAAAAUUCAACCCCCUCCAUCCUUCCUCCUUCAAAGUUAUAUCAGUCAUUGUUCUGGACUUACACCUUUUUUUAGGACUUACACUUUUCCAUUUCUUAUUUGUCUUUCUUUGUACAUACAAAUACAUUGCUUCAAUAACUAAUGAAUCCUUUCAUAGGCCCUAGUUUUUCUUGUCUAAUGAAAAUAUAAUCCUUAAGGGUGGGACCCAGGAUUUCAUUUCCUCUGCUGCUCCUAGAACACCUAGCAGGGUACUCUCUGUACACAGUAGGCAUUAUGUUCACUCACAAUCAAUGUGGAAAGACUAGUCACUCUGGUUACACAGAAGUUAAGCCUCCUUUCUCAUAGUAACAAUUGCUAGCCUUAUGAUUUAUUCUCAACAAAAGCACAUAGUCUUCUUCACAGGAUCAUUUGGAUACUCUUUUGCUAUGUGACAUGGUUCUAUUGGUGAUCAGCAGUGUCAACACUAAAUAUAACUGUUGUUCUAAGAAGACUGGUUUCAGAAAUAUCUUAAAACUAUCAGGUUAUAGCAUUUAAUAGCCAUAAACAGUCUAGAUGUUAGGCAUAAACCCGGAACCUCUAGUUCUAUCAGCUCAUCUUACUCAAAGACUUUUGCUUAUCUAGGUGCAGGUGUAUGAGAUGGCAUCAGUCUUUCCACUCAAUGAUCUUCCUCCAGCCUAUUCUUCCCCUUCCACUCUGACGCUCUUUCCUUCCACCAAGAAUGUCUAGGAUUUCAACUCUGAUAGAAAGUUUCUUUUAAAGAGAUGACUGAAUGAAUUUCUUUUUUUUUUUAAAGAAAUUACUGAAUGACAUAAGCUUUCAUGGUCAUAAAUAUUACCAAUCCAUAGCUCAUUCAACUAUUUUUAAAGUGUCAAUGUAUUCCACUACUGACACAGUUUUCUAGGAACACUAUGUCUAUCUACCAAGGAGGUAUAAUGUAUUGUACUAUAAGAGGGCAGAUGGACACUUAAAAAUAAUUAACAAUAGUGUGUUAUGUUCUUUAACUGAAUAUAAAGUUCUGGAACCAUAAAAGAAAAAGAGCUUAAUUUCACUGUAAGAUAGCAGACAAGUUCCCCAAGUGAACAAAAGAUGCAAAAAUGAAGGUAAUUCCAGGUAAUGGAAACAUAUAUGAAUCUGGAAAAACAUGGGUCAGACAAGAAUGGUCAUUCUAUGUCAUGCUGAGUUUGACUCUCAUCCUCAAGGGCAGUGAUACUUGAUAAGAUGUGAAUUUUACUUAAGUGUGGAAUUUUACUUCAGUGUGGAAGACAAACUGUGGAAGGGUGACUAAAAGGAAGGAAAAGAGAAAGAAAGAAUGACUCCUAAGUAAGUCCUAGGGAGAAAUGGAAAUAAUUAGAACAGAAAGAAGUCAAGACUUCAAAGAUGAUCCUGUAUUGCUGUAGGAUAGCAAUACAGGAUCAAGUGGCCAAAUACAUUAACAAUUAUAAGUAAAACUGCAUUUUUCCCUAUAAUGUGAGUUUGCAACAUAAAUUAUAAUUAGCAAAAGUAUAGGCUAUUAAAACAUAAAUGUCUUGUCUACACUUUAAAUUUUAUAUACUUUAAGGUCCUCUUAAAAAUAUGGGUUCCUGCUGUGGCACAGUGGGUUAAGGACCCAGGAUUGUCUCCGAGGUAGUGUGAGUUCGAUCCCCAGCCCAGUGCAGUGGGUUGGAGUAGGUUGCAGCUGUGGCUCAGGUUCGAUUCCUGGCCUGGGACUUCCCUAUGCCUUGGGUGUGACUGAAAAAGGGAAAAAAAAAAAAAAAAAAAAAAAAAAAAAAAAAAAAAAAAAAAAAGCAUACAGAAAAUAAGCAUCUAACUUUCUUCAUGCCCUCCCCAAUCUUCAAAUGACAAGAAGAAGAGGAGGAAAAGAAGAGGUCAUUUCCUGCUAAGGAAGAAGAAAUCAUUUCUUUUUUUUAACCAUGUUGGGAUAUAAGAAAAGUACCUUCAGUAGACCAUAGUUAAAAGAAUUUCUAGAAGCUAGAAAGUCAUUGGGGAUUAGAUUAAUAAAAGUAUAAGAAAUUACAGCCAGAAUUUGUAUAUAAGAGAAAUGAUGGUGAAGGCAGAUCUGGAGAACUUAGGUUUAAGGGUAGACCUAGAGAAAAUGUAAGUUUAUUUUAAGUACUAUAUUAAUACAUAAGAGAAAAGGAAUGCAGAGGCUGAGGAAACUCAGAACUUCCAAACCUUAUUAUAAUAUAGCUAAAAUCUAAUAAAUGGUAUAGAAGAUAAAGUUGAGAAAACUGUCUCCCAUAAUGUGAAGGAAAACUCAAAAAAAAAAAAAAAGAAAAAGAAAAAGAAACCAUAGAGGAACAGUCUAGAAGAUGAGCUACAGAAAGAAAGAAAAGUCAGAAGUUCCCUGAGCUGAAUGAAGUUACGAAUUUUAAACUAAUAGUGCCCACAGAUGGUUAAGUAAACUGAAUGAAAAAGAACUAUGGUAGAUAAACAGUGUGAAAUAUGACAACUUCACAGAGAAAACAUAAGAUUCCUAACACUUUUUGAGAGAGAAAUUGUUGUUUACCUGCACAGUAUGAGAAUCAGUAUGGCAUCACAAUAUUAUCCAAUUUCUCACCGAUGUCCCUAUGAUGAGAAAAAUCCUUAAAAAAAAUAAUAGAAACUGGAGGACGUCAGAUAUCCAUUUUUUCAGCAACCCCAUAUCUCUGUAGCAGUGUGAAGUCAUUAUAUUCAUAAAAACUUGGAGUUCUCCUCAUGGCUCAAUGGAAACGAAUCCAACUAGCAUCCAUGAGGACACAGGUUCAAUCCCUGGCCUUGCUCAGUGGAUAAGGAUCCAGCGUUGCCAUAAGCUGUGGUGUAGGUCGAAGAUGCAGCUUGUAUUCUGUGUUCCUGUGGAGUAGGCCAGCAGCUACAGCUCUGAUUUGAUCCCUAGCCGAGGAACCUCCAUAUGCCGUGGAUGUGGCCCUAAAAAAGAGAAAAGAAAAUUUUCACAUCUUCCCAUUCCCUUUAGCUUAGAAGAAUUAAAGACUGGGGAAAAAACUUCACACGCAAAAAAGGAAAAGUCUUUUUAACUUAGUCCUUGAACCAUGACUGUCUUCCCCAUGAACCUCCCAUGAAUGCUUUCCAAGAAAAACCCAUUGCUUUGAUGAUGGAUAAUAAAUCGGAGCCAUGACUGAAUCUGUACAAACAUAUGAUGACUGUGAAGAAAGGAAAAAAGGCACAGGAAAAACAGGUGGCAGAUGAGGACUACUUGUAAGAAAAGUACUGUCAAAGAACAGGCAAAAUUUAACAUCCUACGUUAAACCAAGAAUAAAAAUUAAUGAAGCAAAAUCGUAUCUGUUCACAUACAAAGCAGAAAAAUUUUAAAAAGCAUGAGAAACACCAAGACAAUAAGAGGAGAUGAAACAGCUGGCAGAGCUUGAGACUUAAUUGUUACAUAUUGAAAUCUACAGUAAAAUCAAAGUCAAGGUAAGCAGAUGAAAAAUAUAGGAAUUGUAACCAAAGAAAGAAAAAUUUUUAAAUUUAAGAAAUAUUAGGCUUGUUCCAUACUCUGCUGAUUUCAUCUUAUUUCUAAAUUCUGGUUUCUGUCUAGAUUGUGAUUAAGAAGGUAAAAUACUUUAGUAUACCUUGGGGAAAAGCAAUAUAAUAAGACCUCUACCUAUAGUCUGAAAAUAAGAAUAGAAUUGUCCAGUGAGUUAGUCUAUUCUCCCAACAUAUGGAAUUAAGCUACUCAUGUAACGUUCAUUGAUAAAUUUGUCCAUAGCUUAAGAGAUAUUUAGCACUCCAAUAGGAACAACAAGCAUGUGUGAUAUUUUGUAAAUAUUCAUUAGCAUAUUUCCUAGCUAUAAAUACAGAAGGUAGAAGUCCAUAUUGAGUGGUGUAAAAGCUUCAGUUGUAGUGUAACAGGAAAUUUCAAACAAGAUUUUAGAAAAAGAGUGACAAUUAUUACUUCAUUCUUUAUAUUUCUAUUGAGGGAUAUGUACUUUACUAUAUUCAGUGAAUCUCUUCAUUCUCUUCUUACAGUCUUUCUUGCCCCUAGAGAAGAAUGAGUGAAUUACUAAACAGGUAACAAUGAG